UUGUAGGUUGCUUACCUUCCUAAACCUACCACCGGAGAUGAUGUAACGUCGCCUAAACAAUACUUCUCCUUCACAGAAUCACAGUCGAGGGUAAUGCCAAGAAAUGACAAAUACCUACUAACUCCUCUUCAAUGGCGCUUGAAUUCAACCUUCAACGUCUUCAUUCAGUAUAUAAACACACCUCCUGAGAGAUCCUUCGAUCAUGGCGAAUUCUCCAAAUCAGAGCUCAUGUUCUAUCUCCCAGAAACCCCUCGAUCAUGGCGACUUCAUUGAUGAAAAAGGCUGUGUACUUCUGUAGUGGGAGGAUCUCUGUCCUCCAGAAUCUCUUCAUUAUGGGCUUCCAUCAUUUUCUAUAUACUCAUUUUACAUCUCCCAUAUGGAGGAAUGCACAGAUGGCAAGUGGAGCUUCAGUAGAGUUUCACAAUACUUCAGAAACAGUUAGAGAUUCUCUAUUUUUCCCUGAACCCUACUUGAGUCUGAAGGCAUGGACAUGUAAACAGACUAAGAGAGAGUUAUGUGUAUUUACGUUGGAGACCCACAUAUUCAGAAGCAAGAGCUGUAAAAUUAAGAUCCAAUGUUUUUAUAGUAUUCGUAUCCAAGUACGCUCUUUAUUCUUUGCUUAUGUCACUACAGAUAAAAUCUUGGUCUGGACCAUCUGCUACUAAGUCUGAGAACCUGUUUUCCGAGUCUAAGAAUUCAAGACCUAGACACGGCCGCAACCUCUUUGUUAAUGGCCCUUCGACUUUGUAAUCAAUAGAAGCUAAGAAAGCCAUGGCUCCUGACAAACUCGCUGAGCUUUGGUUUGUUGACCCUGAGAGAGCUAAAAGACGAUCAUGGCUGGUUGAUAGUAACGGCACUGCAACCAAAAUAACGAGUGCAUCGAGUCAGAAUGACCCGCACCAAGUGGUGUGGAACGGCAAUCCUACAAGACUUUGUCCCAACUGUCAGCACGUCAUUGACAACAGUUACGAAGUUGAUGACUGGCCAGGCUUGCCUCAAGGUGUGAAAUUCGAUCCCUCUGAUCCAGAGAUCAUCUACCAUUUGCUUGCAAAAUCUGGAUUGUUGGGUUUAAGCUCCCACCCUUUCAUUAAUGAGUUCAUCACAACUGUCAAUCAAUAUGAUGGAAUCUGUUACGCACUUCCUAAAAACUUACCAGUCUAGCCAUUUCAGUGAUCGUACCAGUUCUGCCAAGUUUUAUCUUAAUCAGAUUUUUUUUUUUUAAAUCGAGGCCUUAAGCACGACGGGACUGCGUCCCACUUUUCCAUAGAGCUAUCAAAACUUACAGCGCAUGAACUAACCAGUUGUAUCGGAUGGUGCGUUUAGUCACUGUCAUGGUAUCCAGUACAUGUUGAUGCCUGCUUUUUAACUUUCCACUCUCUCCAACAACACCUCUUCUCUUCUGUUGCUUACUGCUAGAACCUUAUCUCCAGAGUGUCGUUGUGUUUAUCUUUUCUUACUCCACUUUUUGAAGGUAAGUGAACGGUGUGCAAAGCAUGCCUUUAAUGUCGAUGGAGAAGUCUCAGGAGGAAGAGCAUUCACACAUUUUCUUUCAGGUGGUUAUGUUUGACGUUUCAGUAAGUACAAGUAUGCUCAGCUAAUGAUUGCUAGCCGAAUGAGUUAUUCAUUCAUUGUUGUGCAGUUUUCUGCCUCAAGUUUUAGUACUUUUUCAUGAGUAAAGUGGCCUCAAUAUUUACAGUUCAUAAGAGCAGUUAGAUUUAACACUGAAGUGAUAUUGAAUGACAAGGUAUCAUAGAGAAUCAUUAGUUUUUCACAAGUAUCUCAUCAUUUAAAUCAUUAUACGUCUGCCAUCAUCAACCCAUUAAUAAAAUGACUAAACAUGCCCACAAAUCAUAACAAAAAUAUUUUACAAACCAGAGUAGCUUAUAAAAUACAAAUCCAUUGCUAGAGAAAUAUAAGAGUAGUGAGGGGAUCGUCUAACAACAACACGUCUCCAUCCUGCAUAGCUAAACAAGAACAAAGUGUGUUAAACAUUGGAACUUUUGUUUUUCAUGAAAUUGAUUUGUAAAAAACGUAACACCAACACAGCCGGUGUGUGAAGCUGGCCAUGGUUACAUGACAUCAAAGUUACCAGCAUCGGCACGCCAAUGGAAACAAUCCCCAAAAGUAAGGCCAAGUUAGCCCGCCAAAUGAGCAAGCACUUACGACAAGCUAAUUAACAUUCACGCAAUCAAGAAGCGAGUUCUCAUUUCUAAAAAAUUCAACUCACCACACCA